AACCCAUGCUGGUACUCGACUAAACCAGUUUUAUUUACCAAGACGCAAAGGUUGUAAAGUCCUAAACAAUUGCGUUAAAGAUGGCUUGCUGGCUAAGUAAACUCAGAAAUAAAGUGGAUGAUAGAAUAUACUAUGACGGUCUUAAAGAGGAGGUUUUUAUAGUGGAAUUUGAACUGACGGAAAUGGAAAAGAAAACUGCAAAAGGCAAAACUGGUGGGAAGAAUUUUGGAUGUAAUAUUACCAAGUGGAACGUCCUUAAGGGCCUUCUCUUUGUGCUGUAUUUAUCUGUUUUCUGCUUUGUAUCAAGAUAUGUGGAUUUAUGGAAAUAUAUUACUUAGAUGGAAAAUCGAAUCCAGCAUAAAAAAGACCUUGAUAAAAAAUGUGUAAAAUUAAAUUUUAAUAAAUAAUUA